rnacentral:lncRNA from 1 species
GUGACAGAGCGAGACUCCAUCUCAGAAAAGAAAAAAAAAAGAAAAACAAAAAAACUUAUGUUCAAAACUCAUCAACUCCACUUCAGAAACUCAGGACAUACCUUGAUGCAUUACUUCUGACAAGUUUCUUCAGGAAUGAAAUUAGCACUGGAUUAUACAAACAUGGCAUAACUGAGCAUUACUCAAAUUUGUAUCACGUUUUUCAAUCAAGAAAAUUCUUUGACAUGUAUUAUCCCAACUGAUUUUCCAAAGACUCCUAUCAGUUAGGUAAGUCAGAUCUUCUGAACAAUCCUGUUUUCCAGGUGAAAGGAAUGGAGUCCCAGAAAAGACAAAAUGACUUGACCAAGAGUCUAAGCAGAAACUGGAUGAAUGGUUUUCAGCAACGCUUAAGAGGAAAUGCUUAUGCUUAUUUUGGAAGAAGCACUUAACUAGAUUAUAGACUGAACUACUGAAGGUGUUCUUGGAACAUGCAAUUUGGAUGUACUUUACCUUUGAAGAGUGAAGGUGGAAAAGACUAAACAAACAACCUGGAUGAAGCUGGAGGCCAUUCUUCUAAGUGAAGUAAUACAGGAGUGGAAAACCAAAAACCGUAUGUUUCACUUUUUCUUUUCUGCCUCAUAGAGGACAACAAGCCUAGCAGCUUCUGGAAGAUGAAGAACAAUGCAGGAAUGGGCAGCCAAGAAUCACCAACAGCAUGAAAGAUGGGCUCCAAAGCAAAUCAGCACAGCAAUGAACCUACAGGAUUAAGUAUGAAUAAUGAAGCUCAUUGCUUAUUUCAGGAUUAGAAUACUUCAGCUGCAAAAUGCAUAAAGGAAAACUACAUUUCCCAGCCUUGUAGCUGAGGCCAUCUGACUGGGCUCUAGCUAAUGGGAUGUAGGCAUAAGAAUGAAUAUUACUUCCUGGCCUGGAUAUAAAACUUGCUAUGUAAUCUCCUACUCAGUCUCUUUCCCUCUGAUGAAAGUCCAUGAAAUGAGUCUCUCCAACCUUCACUAGAUUGUGAUGACAAACCUUUGUUACAAUAGAGUACUGAGAUUUUAGUGUUAGUUUAUUACUGCUCUAUGGUUUGGCCUACCUUGACUACAAUCAUAAGCAAUAAGAGAGGCUAUUGAGAAAUUUUAUAACCUAGACCUGCCCAGACCUGUAACUAUUCAAACUAUGGCUGUACUGCCUUUAAUCAGGUCUACUGAUAGUCAUGAUAACUUGCUGAGCACCUCAGGGCCUUUCUUAUCACCUAUUCUCCCAACAUCUCUGCAAGAUAGACAGGCAACAGGAGGAAACUCAGGUUCAAAGAAGGUCUGAAAUUGAGUCAAAGUCAUACAUCUGGUAAGUGGCGGGUUGAAAUCCGAUCCAGGGUUUCCCAACACCAGAACCCUCUUUCUGCUAUUCCUCCUCCUGUCUUUUUAGGCUAUAA